GCCAUUUUGAAUGGAAAUCUACAUUUACCCUGAGCUUUUAAUAUUGCAUCCUUCUGCAAGGUUGAAAUGUAAAAGUAUUUUAUUCUUUCAGGAGUUCUGCAGGGAGAAGACAAUUGCAACAAGCUGUCAGCAUCCCAAGCAUGAUGUAUUCAGAGGCUACAUAAUUUUAACAACAUAUGAAAUUCCUUUCUUACUACUUUUGAUUGCUUUUCAGUGAACAACAGUGUGUCACUGUUCUUAUAAAAUUUUGGAGUUCUGGUUAACAAUACUCUCUGUUCCUAGGAUAGUUCUGCAAAGAAAGAUUAUAAUCAGGGGAGAAAUUGCCUCUCAUAUCUAACUUCCUUCUCUUAUUCUAACUUAAUGUCACAAAAAGCUAAAAAAAAUAUAUGAGCAUCAUGUGGUUUGUGAAUCUGUCUUCAAGCUUGUUACUCAAAAAAAAAGUGUUCCUGAUAUGUAAACAGACUCAGCAAAUAAAUAUCUGUCAUGUUUGCCA
rnacentral:lncRNA from 1 species